rnacentral:lncRNA from 1 species
UACAAAGCCAAGAGAGAAAAUACAAUUGCAAGAAAAGUGUUUCUUGUUCUUCUAAUUUGAGUUGAGAUUUUUGAGAAAAAUUUCAACACAAUGUUAUUCGUUCAAUUUGUUCACGGGUUUCAUUGAUCAAAGAGUUGAUAGCAAGGAUCGGUCUCGGAUAUCGAAGAAUUUUGAAAUGAGACUCUUUUCACCAGGUACGUCUUUGAUCCGAUCUUUGACAUGUAAAUAAAUUUUAAACAUGAGAAAAUCUACCUAGGAUUGUUAUUGUCUUCCGCUGCGUGUUACGAACACC